rnacentral:rRNA from 1 species
UGUGUUGGUGGUUAUAGCGUCGGGGGUACGCCCGGUCCCUUUCCGAACCCGGAAGCUAAGCCCGAUUGCGCUGAUGGUACUGCACCUGGGAGGGUGUGGGAGAGUAGGUCGCCGCCAACCAAA